rnacentral:rRNA from 1 species
UACCUGCAGCUCAAGUGGUGACCGCUAUUAUUGGGCCUAAAACGUUCGUAGCCGGUUUGGUAAAUGCCUGGGUAAAUCGUGUAGCUUAACUAUACGAAUUCCGGGUAGACUGCCAAACUUGAGACCGGGAGAAGUUAGAGGUAUUCCUGGGGUAGAGGUGAAAUUCUGUAAUCCUAGGGGGACCACCAGUGGCGAAGGCGUCUAGCUAGAAUGGGUUUGACGGUGAGGAACGAAGCCCUGGGGCGCAAACCGGAUUAGAUACCCGGGUAGUCCAGGGUGUAAACGCUGCUUGCUUGAUGUUAGUUGGGCUCCGAGCCCAAUUAGUGUCGGAGAGAAGUUGUUAAGCAAGCUGCCUGGGAAGUACGAUCGCAAGAUUGAAACUUAAAGGAAUUGGCGGGGGAGCAUAGCAACGGGUGGAGCGUGCGGUUU